rnacentral:rRNA from 1 species
GUCCUAGCCGUAAACGGUGCGCGCUUGCUGUGAGCGGAAUCGACCCCGCUCGUGGCGUAGCUAACGCGAUAAGCGCGCCGCCUGGGGAGUACGGUCGCAAGAUUAAAACUCAAAGAAAUUGACGGGGGCCUGCACAAGCGGUGGAGUAUGUGGCUUAAUUCGAUGCAACGCGAAGAACCUUACCUGGCCUUGACAUGCAAGUGGUAGAAGCCUGAAAGGGUAACGACCCCGCAAGGGGAGCUUGCACAGGUGCUGCAUGGCUGUCGU